rnacentral:SRP_RNA from 1 species
GUAGUCCCAGCUGCUCAGGAGGCUGAGGCAGGAGGAUUGCUUGAGCCCAGGAGUUUGAGGUUGCUGUGAGCUAGGCUGACGCCAUGGCACUCACUCUAGCCUGGGCAACAAAGUGAGACUCUGUCUCAAAAAAUAAAUAAAUAAAUAAAAUAAGCUGCGGUGUGGAAUGCACUGGUGUCCCUGCUAAGUUCAGCAUCCACGUGGUGACCUCGUGGGAGCAGGGACCACCAGGUUGCCUAAGGUGGGGGAAGGGGCCCAGGUUGGAAGUGGAGCAGGAAACUUUCGUGCUGAGCAGUGGUGGGAUCAGGUGUGUGAGCAGCGACUGCACUCCGGCCUGGGCAACACAGUAAGGCCCCUUCUCU